rnacentral:rRNA from 1 species
UACGUAGGGGGCAAGCGUUGUCCGGAUUUAUUGGGCGUAAAGAGCGUGUAGGCGGCUGGGUAGGUCCGUUGUGAAAACUCGAGGCUCAACCUCGAGACGCCGAUGGAAACCCCCCGGCUAGAGUCCGGAAGAGGAGAGUGGAAUUCCUGGUGUAGCGGUGAAAUGCGUAGAUAUCAGGAGGAACACCGGUGGUGUAAACGGCUUUCUGGACCAUAACUGACGCUGAGGCACGAAAGCGUGGGUAGCAAACAGG